AGUGAACGCUGGCGGUAGGCCUAACACAUGCAAGUCGAACGGCAGCACAGUAAGAGCUUGCUCUUACGGGUGGCGAGUGGCGGACGGGUGAGGAAUACAUCGGAAUCUACUUUUUCGUGGGGGAUAACGUAGGGAAACUUACGCUAAUACCGCAUACGACCUACGGGUGAAAGCAGGGGAUCUUCGGACCUUGCGCGAUUGAAUGAGCCGAUGUCGGAUUAGCUAGUUGGCGGGGUAAAGGCCCACCAAGGCGACGAUCCGUAGCUGGUCUGAGAGGAUGAUCAGCCGCACUGGAACUGAGACAGGGUCCAGACUCCUACGGGAGGCAGCAGUGGGGAAUAUUGGACAAUGGGCGCAAGCCUGAUCCAGCCAUACCGCGUGGGUGAAGAAGGCCUUCGGGUUGUAAAGCCCUUUUGUUGGGAAAGAAAAGCAGCAGGUUAAUACCCCGCUGUUCUGACGGUACCCAAAGAAUAAGCACCGGCUAACUUCGUG
rnacentral:rRNA from 1 species